rnacentral:rRNA from 1 species
AGUAACACGUGGAUAACCUACCUAUAAGACUGGGAUAACUUCGGGAAACCGGAGCUAAUACCGGAUAAUAUUUUGAGCCGCAUGGUUCAAAAGUGAAAGACGGUCUUGCUGUCACUUAUAGAUGGAUCCGCGCUGCAUUAGCUAGUUGGUAAGGUAACGGCUUACCAAGGCAACGAUGCAUAGCCGACCUGAGAGGGUGAUCGGCCACACUGGAACUGAGACACGGUCCAG